GAAAACAGGGUUAACCCAGGACGGUAAUGUUGCUGGUAAUGGUGUUGUGGUUCUUUGUUGUUUUUUUGGUUUGUUUGUUUUUCCAUAACUUGUGAAUCUGCAAAUAUACACAUUCUGUAUUUUUCAUAUGAAAGAAACUAUACUGUGGUGGGGCUUGCUUAUUUCUUGUUUUUGAUUUAUGUACGUUUUGUUUUGUUUUGCAUAUGUUGUUUGUUUAAUUUAAGACUAAAAGAAAAUUAAAUGAAUGAGAGGUAAAACUUGAGGGGGUAGGGACAAAUAAGUAAAUACUUCUGCCUACUCCUUUUCAAACAAAUAAUGAAAUGAUAUUUUGUAAUGAUUGUGAAGGCACAUGUUUGAAAUGUUUGAAAUAAAAAUGAACUGAACUGAGAUUCAUCUGGGACUAUAGCAAGGUAGCCCUGCCUUUAACAUAACUAACCUCUCCCAAGAUUCCUUUCCAGUGGAACGACGCUGCCCAAUCAGCCUUCCAGGAGCUGAAAAAGUGGUUUGCCUUGGCACCCAUUCUGGUCCAGCCCAAUCUAAAAUUGCAGUUUGUGGUGGAGAACGCAACUACGACGUCGGUGAUCGGGAACUUCUAGCCAUCAAGCUUGCCUUGGAAGAGUGGAGUCACUGGUUGGAGGGCACUGCUCAACCGUUCAUUGUCUGGACAGACCAUAGAAAUCUAGCAUAUCUGCAAUCUGCAAAGAGACUUAACGCCAGACAAGCAAGGUGGGCUCUGUUUUUUACGCGAUUCCACUUUUCAAUCACCUACAGGCCAGGGUCUCGCAAUGUCAAGCUGGACGCCCUGUCCUGACAGUUCUCCACUUCUGAGGGCCUGGCGGACCCUGCACCCAUCCUCCCGACCACCUUUGUAGUGGGGGCUAUCUCCUUGGAAAUCGAGUCGGCCAUUCGCGAGGCUCAGAGAAGGGAACCAGACCCAGCAGGAGGGCCAGCGGGACGCGUGUUCGUUCCCCAAUCCGUCAGGUCUGAGGUAUUACAGUGGGCACACACAACCCAUUUCUCCUGUCACCCAGGAAUACACAGCACCAUUACUUUCCUGCAGCGCUACUUCUGGUGGCCCACACUGAGAGAAUUCGUCUCCGCUUGUGCAGUCUGCGCUCAAAACAAGGCUUCUAACCAGCCACCCUCGGGUCCUCUUCAUCCCUUACCCACACCCACCAGACCGUGGUCCCAUAUUUCUCUGGAUUUUGUGACCGGCCUUCCACCUUCUGCAGGUAAUACAAUCAUACUCACGAUCGUUGACCGCUUCUCUAAAACGGCUCACUUUGUUGCUCUGCCCAAGCUACCUACAGCGUUGGAGACUGCACGUCAACUCAUCAAUCACGUCUUUCGCCUGCAUGGCAUUCCGGAUGACAUUGUGUCUGACCGGGGCCCCCAAUUCACAUCCCGAUAGUGGAAAGAGUUCUGCGCCUCAUUGGGAUCUGAGGUCAGUCUGUCCUCUGGAUAUCAUCCUCAGAGCAAUGGCCAGUCUGAACGGGCGAACCAGGAGUUGGAGGCCGCCCUGCGCUGCCACGCCUGUUCCAACCAGGCCAUCAGGAGUGAGGAACUGCCAUGGAUGGAAUACGCUAUUAAAUUCUGGUUCUUUAUAUUCUUAAGGGCCAAGAAGACACAGGGCUCAAACUGGUCUUUUAACUUUAAAAAUGAUCUUUAUUUUACAUAUCCGGAUAUGGAGACCUGAACACAA
ensembl:lncRNA